GACGAACGCUGGCGGCGUGCUUAACACAUGUAAGUCGAACGAUGAAGCCGGAGCUUGCUCUGGUGAAUUAGUGGCGAACGGGUGAGUAACACGUGAGUAACCUGCCCUUGACUCUGGGAUAACUGCGGGAAACUGUAGCUAAUACCGGAUACGACCCUCGGAGGCAUCUCCUGGGGGUGGAAAGAAUUUCGGUCAAGGAUGGACUCGCGGCCUAUCAGCUAGUUGGUGAGGUGAAGGCUCACCAAGGCGACGACGGGUAGCCGGCCUGAGAGGGUGACCGGCCACACUGGGACUGAGACACGGCCCAGACUCCUACGGGAGGCAGCAGUGGGGAAUAUUGCACAAUGGGCGCAAGCCUGAUGCAGCAACGCCGCGUGAGGGAUGACGGCCUUCGGGUUGUAAACCUCUUUUAGCAGGGAAGAAGCGAAAGUGACGGUACCUGCAGAAAAAGCACCGGCUAACUACGUGCCAGCCGCCGCAGUAA
rnacentral:rRNA from 1 species